UUCGGAGAUGUGUAUCAGUGACUUCACCUGUACCCAUGCCGAACACAGAAGUUAAGCCCUAGAACGCCGGAAGUAGUUGGGGGUUGCCCCCUGUGAGAUAGGGAAGUCGCUUAGC
rnacentral:rRNA from 1 species